GAUGAACGCUGGCGGCGUGCUUAACACAUGCAAGUCGAACGGAAAGGCCCAAGCUUGCUUGGGUACUCGAGUGGCGAACGGGUGAGUAACACGUGGGUGAUCUGCCCUGCACUUCGGGAUAAGCCUGGGAAACUGGGUCUAAUACCGGAUAGGACCACUUCUUGGAUGUUGUGGUGGAAAGUUUUUUCGGUGUGGGAUGAGCUCGCGGCCUAUCAGCUUGUUGGUGGGGUAAUGGCCUACCAAGGCGUCGACGGGUAGCCGGCCUGAGAGGGUGUACGGCCACAUUGGGACUGAGAUACGGCCCCGACGCCUACGGGAGGCAGCAGUGGGGAAUAUUGCACAAUGGGCGCAAGCCUGAUGCAGCGACGCCGCGGGGGGGAUGACGGCCUUCGGGUUGUAAACUCCUUUCGCUAGGGACGAAGCGUUUUGUGACGGUACCUGGAGAAGAAGCACCGGCUAACUACGUG
rnacentral:rRNA from 1 species